rnacentral:lncRNA from 1 species
AUUGACUAGCUUGAGUCCGACCGGAGAGCAUCAAGGCCCGCAGAGCCCGCGCUAAGUCUCGGCGGCGGCGCCCAGGGCUGAGCCGUGGUAGCCCUGGUGUUUAGAGGGUGUCUUCCUCUAGAAAGAGAAAAGUUUGGCAGUGAUUUGAUUUCAACUGGGGAUAGGAUGUAAAGCCAGGCGUGGGGAAUCACCGUAUACUUUGCAGAGAGAGGCAGCUGCGGUCUUCCUGGUGCCUUCUAGUCCACACACCAACCCACGUCGUCAGCUUACACACAGACACACACAGACACACACACACACACACACACACACACAAACACUGGGCCAAGGGAGUUGCGGAUUUUCUGACUCCUUGUGCACUCAUCUGGAGGUGCGGAGUGGGUGCGUGCGCGCGCAUGCGUGCGCGCGCCCGAGAGAGAGCGAGAGAGAGAGAGAGAGAGAGAGAGAGAGAGAGAGAGAGAGAGAGAGAGAGAGAGAGCGUGUGUGUGUGUGUGUGUGUGUGUGUGUGUGUGGUGUAUGUACGCGUUUUCUCACGGUGGGAUGUUUAUUUCGGUGAACGCCAGGAAAGUGCAGUGUUAGAGAUCUGUCUGUGCUAGCUAGCUCGGGAGCAAACACGCCGCAAGCAACUGUAAUCAAUAUGUAACUUUCUUCAUCCUCAGAGAAAUCCCCGCUGUCCCCAGGCACCCAUGCAAGGAAAGUCACUUGAUUAUGAAAGUGUUUCAGAAGAAAAGCAGACGCCGGUGGAGAGAGAGGCAGUGUCUCGAAGGAGGGAACAAGCCUCUCUUAAGACAUGUUUUGCAGCUCCAUGAAACUGAAAUCUGGUUGAACAGUGUUUAGACUUCUACCUUUUAACCAUCUCCUAUCACAGCCCACAUUCAAGCUUUAGAAUCUCAAAGCUUGCUUUUGUCUGAACUGCUUUCACAAACAUCCACAAGUUACGAUCAGUUUUGGUUCUGAUCUAGCAGUUCUGGAGCAGAGUUAAGAGGGACAAAGGAAAACAAUCCGUUGAAAUAGAGAAGUGACAGGCAGUGAAAGAUACUUCUUAGAAAAUGUUGACUCCUCUGGAAUAAAGCACUGCUAUGAGGCACUGGUUGGGAAAUUCAUGAGAAAGGAAACUGACUCUUAGAAAACAUGCCAGGUUAAAGGGUUCUGACAUUGACAACAGAAGAAAAAAGGUGAGCUGAAGAAGGACAGCAGCAAUAGACAUGCAAAUGCAGAUGGAGGAAAGCCAAGGCUGGCUAAGGACAACAAAAGAAUGUGAGAGGAGAUGAAAUAAUCUUUCACAAGGAAGAGCUCACAAAUUGAUUAUCCAAUACUAACUUGUCAGUCUUUAAAACACAUACAUAGAAAUAACAUCAUACAGACUGUGCACGUUGUGCUAAGCAUUGAAUAAUGUAUGUAUAUGUGUGCAUGCACAUGUGUGUGUGUGUGUGUGUGUGUGUGUGUAGCAAUAUUUAGUGAAAAAAGAAGUCUUGAAUUUGAGAGGAGAACACCAGGAAGAAAGAAAAGAAGUAAAAAUAAUGUUAAUUAAAAUGUGAAAAAUCAAAGAAAGAAAAACAUGUCAGUUAAUAGAAUGAAAUAUGGAGGCAGGAGGGUCACAAACUUAUGAACAUUUUAGAUUGUAUAACAUGACUGCCUAAAAAUCCUAAACCAUAGAAAUCAGCAAUAAAAACUUAAAAAACAAUCAGAUUUUUAGAGAAAAGAGACAAAGAACUUUUAUGACUCUACUACGUCAGCCAUUUGCAACAAAUUCUUCUUUGUGUCCUUUGUCUGGAUUUCUGCCUAAUAUCACUUUUAGCUUUCAGUUUAUGUAUUCUUGUUAUCUCAGUAAUACUCUGUGCAUUUCUUUGUUUCUCCAUAAACUUUCUCAAGCUUCAAAGACUUGUUGUAAUUGACAUUAUUUUCACUCAUGGUUUUAAAAAAUAUUGUUACCUAUUCAACUCUGCAAAGUUCCUUUAGUUGAAAACAUUCUUCCAUGACAAUAAAUCAAUUGGUCAUAUGCUUUUGCUCGCGUUGGGGACCUUGACCUGCUCCUGGGUUGCUUCCUCCGCCCUUAAUAUGAAAGAAGGUGACUAGUCUUACUUCAACUUGAUAUGCCGUGUUUAGUUGAUAGUCCUGGGAGGUUUAGCCUUUUUGGAAGGAAAACAGUGAAGAAUAGAUAGGAAGGGAAGAGGAGGUGGGGUAGGAGUGGGAAGUGGGAGACUGGAUCAACAAGAGGGACGGGAACCUAUAUUUAGGAUUCAAUUAUAUGAGGAUAAAUUAAUAGACAAAACCAAAACAAUCCUCCCAAAAAUCAACAAAAAUUUGACUGGUCAUAAAUGGGUGUGAAAGAUAAUCCUUCUGAUUACCUCAUUGAAAUCAACUCUGACGAAGGCUGUUCCAUAGGGUACAGAUUGUAUAUUUUUAUUAUUUUAGUUUUGGACAUUUAUUCCCAACCUUUUUAAUAUAUGGUCAUUAUUUUCAGUGGAUGUAAGUGCUUCAAUAAAGCAAGAGAUGUUUAACAUA